rnacentral:lncRNA from 1 species
UUUCUUAUUCUCCACUAAAUAUAUGUAAUGAAACUACAUAUUAUACUUUCAUCAUUUUAAUAUUGCUGUGCUCCAAGAUGUCAUCUCAAAUUGGAAUUUCAAAUUGGAACGCAGUCAGCCAACGUUAGAAAUUCGGAACACACUCCUGGCCUGCCGAACCGUCACUAGCUGAGAAGAGAUUGGAUUGACAGACGUCGUCAUUUAUGAAAUGUCAAGCAUUUAUGAAACUUUUAUUUUCACUUAUUUGUAGAAAUAAUCAUAGAUUGGGAAUAUUGACAUUAAAUGUCGUUUCUUUAUUCUAGAGCAACACAGCUGUCCUUAUUCCUAUAAAUAUCAUUACA